AGUGAACGCUGGCGGUAGGCCUAACACAUGCAAGUCGAACGGCAGCACAGUAAGAGCUUGCUCUUACGGGUGGCGAGUGGCGGACGGGUGAGGAAUACAUCGGAAUCUACUUUUUCGUGGGGGAUAACGUAGGGAAACUUACGCUAAUACCGCAUACGACCUACGGGUGAAAGCAGGGGAUCUUCGGACCUUGCGCGAUUGAAUGAGCCGAUGUCGGAUUAGCUAGUUGGCGGGGUAAAGGCCCACCAAGGCGACGAUCCGUAGCUGGUCUGAGAGGAUGAUCAGCCACACUGGAACGGAGACACGGUCCAGACUCCUACGGUAGGCAGCAGUGGGGAAUAUUGGACAAUGGGCGCAAGCCUGAUCCAGCCAUACUGCGUGGGUGAAGAAGGCCUUCGGGUUGUAAAGCCCUUUUGUUGGGAAAGAAAAGCAGCAGGUUAAUACCCCGCUGUUCUGACGGUACCCAAAGAAUAAGCACCGGCUAACUUCGUG
rnacentral:rRNA from 1 species